AUUCGGCUCCGCGAGCCCGUGCACCGCCGUCGCGGCUCCGGCUCCCGGACGGUGCCGAGGCGCUCGCGGAGCCGCAGCCCCCUCUGUACUCUUCCCGGUACUGUUUCCAAAAGGCCAUUCGGCAGAUGCCGCACUUCCUCACCCUCUCUGGGCCCUGGUAGAGAAGUUGUGCGUGAAUUGGCAUACCAGUGGAGAAGUUGUCACCCUAGAAAAAGAAUGUGCUGUGGAGGAUUACCUAUUCUUUACAAUUUAAAAUUUUCCAUGAUUUCUGCCUGUGGAACUGGAACAAAAGAGCUGGGUUAAGAAGCCACUGAUGGUCUGAGUUGAAGCAGAAGCUGCCACGGCCUCUCCAAAAACACAUGCUAUCAGGAGAAUCAGCCCCCACCCGGAGAUGAUGAGAAAAACGCAGAAAAUAUUACAUAUUCUCAGCUCACUUUCUGGGUUACAAUAAGAAGCAAAAGCCAUAGAAGAAAGAGACUUAAGAUGCCCAAGGAAUGUUUUUUAAAUCCAAGAAAUAUUUCUUAAAAAUAAAGUGGACUCAAAAGCCCAUUUAUAAAAACACAAAGGUACAGAUGUACUAAUGAGGGAGGGGUGACAUGGAAUCCCCACGCUUCCUCCUCUUCCCUCUUCCUUCAGGCCAUUUUCAAAGCCUCUGAGCUAAUCCCAUUGGCACAUUUUCCAGCAGGGUCAUCCAUACCUACAGGGUCAAAAAACUGGUCCAGGUUCUGCAGCCAGGAAGUGGCAAGCGCAGUACCAGAGGUUGGGUUUUCUCAUUCCCAGUUUAUUAGCCCUGAUGCCCCUGCCUUUAAACUGAACUAGUCCUUGAGGAAGUUAUAUUUGGUCUUCAGCUUUCCUGGUCUCAGAAUUUGUCAUCUUUUGGGAAAGGGUCAAUGGUUCCUUUAAUCUUUUACCUGUUCUCAGAAGCCCAUACCCUAGUGAUAAUAAAUCAUUGCAUCCUGGCAGGAGUAUUUGCAUUUUCAACUGUAUGGCUCUGACCCUUAGCUGCACAUUAGAAUCACCUGGGGAGACUUUAAAUCAUACUAGAUGCUGGAUUUUCACCACAAAUAUUUGUAUUUAAUUGCUCUGGGUUAGGGCUUGUUGUGUUUUUAGGUUUGGGGUUUUUUAUGCCCCCCGGGUAUUCUAAUAAGCAGGCAAAACUGAGAACCACUGGGUUAUAGUAAUAAAACUAAUUACAUAUGUGCAAGGCCUCAGCUAGUAGGUGGAUAAUGCAGCCAUAAUUACCUACGCUAUCUGGGAGGUACAGCCAGUCCUGUACUAAUCUCAGGGCUCAGCAGAACCAAGCUGGUCCUGGUGCCCACCCACGUCCCAUUAGACCUUCAGAUAUUUUUUUAUUUCCCUUUUCCCCUCACUAUUUUCUUAAAAUUUUUCUCAAUGGUGAAUGUCCUGAAUGGGGGAAAGCUCAGAAAAGACAGGAAAACACGUCAAAGAAAAUGAAUGUUGUCCAUAAUCCUAUCACCCAAAGUAGUCAUUUUUUGUUAGGUUUUGAGUCCUAGAAAUUUAAAUGGAUAGACAUGAAAUGAUUUGUAAAUUAAAAUAAUAGAGUACAUGCUGGUAUUUUUUCAAAUUAUACAGGCAUAUGGAAAAAUGCUCAAAUACAAUGAAAUUUUUCACAAGAAGUCUCCCUCCCACUGCCAACCCACCUCUUACCUCCCCAGAGGCAACCAGUGUUACCAGUCUUUUGGCAGACUUCCAGAAAUAUCUAUAUAUAUGCAGACAAAUUGUUGCAUAUUAUACAAUUUAUUCUGUAAUUUAGUUUUCCUACUCAAAAUAUAUCUCAGAGAUGGGUCCAUAACAGGCAUUUUUUUUUUACACCACAUAGUUUUCCAUUGCAGAUUUCCUGCAAUUUCUUAACCAGUCCAUUUUUUAUGGGUAUUUGUUUCUAAUGUUAUGCUACUUUUAAAAUAUUUAUGUAUUUAGUUCUUUGUUCUUCCCAUGAAUUUUUUUAUUUAUUAAAUAUGCUUCAAAAAUUAUUUUAGUACUACUUGGUAUUCCACUGUAUAAAUUUAUAAUAACCUAUUCAAAUCAUACUGAAUUGUUAGACAUGUAUUGUUUCCAAUUCUUUAUCAUUAUUCAUGAUGCUGCAAUGAACAAUCCUCGUAUACAAA